UGGCGGUUAACAGCUGGUUAACCGUUAACCCGCGAACUUGCCUAAAAAGGUUUCCAUCAAAGGUUAAUUAUUUAUUGUGAUUUUAUUUUGUUGAUUAGUUAGUAAAUUUAUAAUCUAGUCUUACAAAUUUCCUCUAUUAUUUGCGAAAUAAAGUGUCUUUUAUCCAUUUCAUAUCAUUGUUUGCAUCAUCAAUUGGAGGCUGGAGCUCGACACACCUUCUAAUAUGGUCGUUAAAACGUGUAGUUUUUCAAUAUCAUAAUUAACCAUCAUCAUCAUCAUCAUGUUCAUCAAGAUUAGCGGGAUAGCAACAAAGAAAGAGAGAACGAGAAGAGACGGAUAAAAAGCCUUAGGAACUAAUUAUCAAAUAGAUUUUUACCAGCAAUCUAGAAUUCUUCCGGAUUUAUGGCAAAAUAAAUAUGAUGAUUUUGAUAAAAUAUGACGAUAAAUGGAUGCCAAGCCUCCAAUAAAAGAAAGGUCCAUAGAAUAAUGAUUUACUUUAUCAGUACAAAGAUUGGGAAACUUGUUACAGUUAAUUCAAGAUGUUCUGGAUCUAAAAAGGCUGUUAACUAGUUUCAUGUUAACUUUUUAUCUGCAAGGUGAAUCAGUAACCGAUUGAAUCUUUGCAACUGAAAUGGGUUAAAUUGCUAUUGCAAUUGCGUGUGUGUGAACCUUGACUAUUGGCUCAUAAUUCACAUGGAGGUGAUCAGAUGAACUCAACUUUCACUUGAUUUUUAUCUUGGCUUAACCAAUUGUUACAUUAUUGUAACUCUUUUAUCACAGUUGUUUGGGAUUAACAGCAGUUAAAAAUGGCAUAGGAAUCAAACUGCUAUUAAGAAGGUGAUUUAAUUGCAGAAGAAGAAAAGAGACAUUCAUUGAUCUCGUGUUUACCAGCUAAUAGUUUUAUUAUUAAUCAAACAUGGCAUUUCAUCAUCUACGAAUGAUGAAUCUCAACAAAUAUACAAUCUUCGAAAGUUAAAUGGUCGAACUAUGCCAAUUAAUCAUUUGCAGUAGCUGUAGUUUCAAAUGUAUUGUAUGAAUGUCUGAAUCAGCUUUUAAACAAUCAAAUGCAUCAAAAAUUGAGCCGAGUUUUUCGUUGGUGAAAGUCUAAUUGCAUUCAAAUUGAUCCGGAGGAUUGUUGUAACAUGAAAUUUCAAAUGAUAUUGAUAGUUUGCCCUUUGAUUUACCAAACUAUUGUAAAUACUGUAACUGGAACAUUGGAUAACAAUUUAAAAUGAAAGUGAAAAGAAUGUUACAGUGUCUUGGAAUCAUCAUCAGCAGUUAUUGUUGAUUAGGUGAAUCUACGGGAGAGAAAAUUGAAUAACUAAAAUCAUCAAUUGGUUUAUAUUUGACCGAUCCAGGAGGAGAGGUAAUUUCAUUAACAUUAAUAGACAGCAUUGACAGCAUGUAUCUUUUCAAGUACCUUUAGCUGAUUAAGGCCAAUCAUAAAGAUGAUUUAACAAUUUGACAUUAUUACAGUUGGCUGUUACAACUGGUGAAGACCAUUUUUAGGACCUAGGCCCAAGCUAAUCAAUAACCGAGUCAAACCUUGCCAGAGAAAGGUUUUAACCCUUGAUUGUUGACAGACAA